AUGCGAUACUUGGUGUGAAUUGCAGAAUCCCGUGAACCAUCGAGUCUUUGAACGCAAGUUGCGCCCCAAGCCUUUGGGCCGAGGGCACGUCUGCCUGGGUGUCACGCAUUGUAGCCCCCCACCCUCGUCGUAAUGUCUGUGAGGGCUGUGUGGGGCUGAUACUGGCCUUCCCGUAUGCACAGCAAUGCGGUUGGCCCAAAUGGAGGAACCCAGGGCGGUGUAUGCCAUGAUGAACGGUGGUGUGUGCUUAGCCUGCCGUCGUUAGAGCAUCAUGCGCAUCAUGCCCUUGAGGUAUGUUUCGUGGACAACCCCGGUGCAAUCAUAGCGCGCAUCGCGACCCCAGGUCAGGCGGGAGCACCCGCUGAGUUUAAGCAUAUCAAUAAGCGGAGGAAAAGAAACUUACCAGGAUUCCCCUAGUAACGGCGAGCGAACCGGGAACAGCCCAGCUUGAAAAUUGGUCGCCCUCGGCGUUCGAAUUGUAGUCUGGAGAAGCGUC
rnacentral:rRNA from 1 species